GGCUGGUCCGGUGCAGUGGUGUUUACAACUAAUGGGCACAACCAGUUAAAGAUUCCUUCGCUCCUCCUCCACUCCCACUACUUCACUCGACUAGCCUAAA
rnacentral:Y_RNA from 1 species